rnacentral:rRNA from 1 species
GGUCAUCCCGACUUACCAACCCGAUGCAAACUGCGAAUACCGGAGAAUGUUAUCACGGGAGACACACGGCGGGUGCUAACGUCCGUCGUGAAGAGGGAAACAACCCAGACCGCCAGCUAAGGUCCCAAAGUCAUGGUUAAGUGGGAAACGAUGUGGGAAGGCCCAGACAGCCAGGAUGUUGGCUUAGAAGCAGCCAUCAUUUAAAGAAAGCGUAAUAGCUCACUGGUCGAGUCGGCCUGCGCGGAAGAUGUAACGGGGCUAAACCAUGCACCGAAGCUGCGGCAGCGACGCUGAUGCGUUGUUGGGUAGGGGAGCGUUCUGUAAGCCUGCGAAGGUGUGCUGUGAGGCAUGCUGGAGGUAUCAGAAGUGCGAAUGCUGACAUAAGUAACGAUAAAGCGGGUGAAAAGCCCGCUCGCCGGAAGACCAAGGGUUCCUGUCCAACGUUAAUCGGGGCAGGGUGAGUCGACCCCUAAGGCGAGGCCGAAAGGCGUAGUCGAUGGGAAACAGGUUAAUAUUCCUGUACUUGGUGUUACUGCGAAGGGGGGACGGAGAAGGCUAUGUUGGCCGGGCGACGGUUGUCCCGGUUUAAGCGUGUAGGCUGGUUUUCCAGGCAAAUCCGGAAAAUCAAGGCUGAGGCGUGAUGACGAGGCACUACGGUGCUGAAGCAACAAAUGCCCUGCUUCCAGGAAAAGCCUCUAAGCAUCAGGUAACAUCAAAUCGUACCCCAAACCGACACAGGUGGUCAGGUAGAGAAUACCAAGGCGCUUGAGAGAACUCGGGUGAAGGAACUAGGCAAAAUGGUGCCGUAACUUCGGGAGAAGGCACGCUGAUAUGUAGGUGAAGUCCCUCGCGGAUGGAGCUGAAAUCAGUCGAAGAUACCAGCUGGCUGCAACUGUUUAUUAAAAACACAGCACUGUGCAAACACGAAAGUGGACGUAUACGGUGUGACGCCUGCCCGGUGCCGGAAGGUUAAUUGAUGGGGUUAGCGCAAGCGAAGCUCUUGAUCGAAGCCCCGGUAAACGGCGGCCGUAACUAUAACGGUCCUAAGGUAGCGAAAUUCCUUGUCGGGUAAGUUCCGACCUGCACGAAUGGCGUAAUGAUGGCCAGGCUGUCUCCACCCGAGACUCAGUGAAAUUGAACUCGCUGUGAAGAUGCAGUGUACCCGCGGCAAGACGGAAAGACCCCGUGAACCUUUACUAUAGCUUGACACUGAACAUUGAGCCUUGAUGUGUAGGAUAGGUGGGAGGCUUUGAAGUGUGGACGCCAGUCUGCAUGGAGCCGACCUUGAAAUACCACCCUU